rnacentral:lncRNA from 1 species
CCCACUCGCACUAUCAUUUUCCAUGUUCAAUGGACCGUGAAAUUGUGUAAAAAAUAUAAUUUGGCAUUAAAAUUAGAAAAAUCAUACCAUAGGGAACAUGUGUACUAAGUUUCAAGUUGUUUGGACUUUAACUUCAUCAAAAACAACCUUGACCAAAAACUUUAACCUGAAACUCGCACUUUCAUUUUCUAUGUUCAGUGGACCG